CUCGAAUCAGGUAGGACUAC
rnacentral:rRNA from 1 species